rnacentral:lncRNA from 1 species
GGGCCGGGCUGUGCUGAGGCCGGCGGGGUGGUAGCACAGGAGGGGUUCGCAGGCUCUGCGGCCGUGCGUGGCGGGGCGUGGGGGCCCGCAGGGCGGAAGUAGCUCGGAGAGACGGGCUGGGGCAGGGCGUGCGUUCGUGCGGUCAAAAUCCACUGGUGGCGUUUGGGGUGUUCCCGUGGACGCGGCCUCCCGGCAGGCGGACCUCCACCGGGUGGGCGCGGCAGGCGGGCUGUGCGGGCAGGAAGAGCGACGAGCUUGAGAGUGGGAGAUGGGGUGCAACGGCGGGCCUCUCCGGGGAGGUGACACUGCCGCUGAGACCCGAAUGGAAGGGCGCGCCCGGCGGGGGAACAGCAGGCGCCGAGGUUCGCUGGAAGCAGGGAAGGGAGGCCCGGGUACCGGCUCGCAGGCCCGCGCGAGCUUCGCGGCAGCGGCACGGAGCGUGUGAACGGCGCAGCGCCGAGGCUUCAUCCAUCGGCCGGUGCAGGGUCCGGGCAGGGAGCACUGUCGACCAGGGUCCGACCCUGGGAGAGUCCAGAGGUGGCGCCUCUGGCAGGGACAGAGGAGGGGGUGACGCUGUAGGGGUGCAGGCAGGAGGCUCCGCGUCAACUCCCCACACUGACGGGGCGGAUUUUUUUUUUUUUUUGACAGAGUCUCGCACUGUUGCCCAGGCUGGAGUGCAGCGGCGCGAUCUCGGCUCACUGCAACCUCCGCCUCCCGGGUUCAAGCGAUUCUCCUGCCUCAGCCUCCCGAGUAGCUGGGAUUACAGGCGCACACUACCACACCCGGCUAAUUUUUUUUGUAUUUUUCUGGUAGAGACAGGGUUUCACUAUGUUGGCCAGACUGGUCGAGAACUCCUGACCUCGUGAUCCGCUCCUAGGUUCGCCUUGGCCUCCCAAAGUGCUCGCUCCUGGGCGUCCCAAAGUGCUGGGAUUACAGGCGUGAGCCACCGCCCCCGGCCGAGGGCGGGUUUUGUUCUCUGCUGUGCCUGUCAGGCAGUCGUUGCCCUGUGGUUAUUUGUGGAGGGAUUGACGGUGCGCUGAGCUUCAGACUUUGUCUGAACAGCUUCGUGGCAGCAAGGAAGGGAGAAGGGAACAGAUCCAAGCCGAUCUUUGGGAGGAGAGAACCAGCAUGACUUGGAGACUUUAGAUGUCAGAGCAAAGGACAGGGUGCAGCUUGGUGACCCGGAGUGGGUGGGUGGGUGAAUGGAUGGAUAGAUAGUGGGGAUGUGGUCUGCCAUCACUGCCCUCUUCCCUGUGUGGGAAGCCAGCUCUUGGUGACUUCCUGCCGAGACCCACUCCCUCUGGCCCUGUCCGAGGGUGUCAAGUGUGCCCUUGACCCUUCACCCUGGGCUAAGGGAUGUCCAAGGAGUUGGGGACAAAGGCAGCUAGGAGGAGGAGCUACCUCCCGAGUCUGCUGCAGUAAGUCACCAGUGUGUUCCUGUGGGUGGAGGCUGGCAGGCCCAUCAGUCUGGUUUGGGUACCCGUUGGAUUUGGGUUUGAUGACAUGUAAAGUGAGUUAGAGUCUCUGCAUUACUGUCACACCUGCUGUGCCCAGGCAUGGAAGAUUAAGUGGAACAGAGGGGCCGCCCCCCUGCUGAAGGGGCCCCAGAGUCGGCGCUAGGGGAGGGGGCAGCCUCGGUGGUCCAGGCAGGCAUAGGCGGAAUUCUCUGAGGUGGCAUUGGAGUCCAGUGGUCAGAGGUGCUAAAAGGCCCCAAACCUAGAGCCCAUGCCCAGGGCCCCACUGACACCUGGUGGGCAGGGGCAGCCUGGUGACCCCACAUGACAUGGGUGGGCGUGACGCAGCACCAGCUGGGCCGACAGCCCUCCCCCUGCUGGUUUUUAAUGCUCUGCAGUAAUGUCAUUUGGCCUGCGAAUAAGCUUUCACACAUUUUAUAUUAAAUCUACAAGUAUGAUUUAUUCAGGCACUUACGAAUUUAAUCAAAUUUGUUUCUAAAUAUUACUGAUUUUUGUUAUCAAAUGUGCCAUCAGCUGUUGAGCUUUGAGAAUUGAGCAUCCUGGCUUUUGCCAUUUUGAGGAUCAGCAGAAGCAUGUCUGGAAGAAAUGUGAGAAAAUAAAACUCAGGAGCCUACCCCCACCCUGCCCUUCCAGGAGCUCAGCCCCAGAGCCAGGCUGCUAAGGCCAUGGAGGCUGAGGGCAGUGGAGCUGGGGUUUCUGGAGCCUCAGGGGCCCUGGUUUGCUGGAAGGGCAGGCAGGGCUUCAUGGAGGGCAUUAGGCAGUGGCCAGAGCCCUGCAGUGCUGGGCAUGGGCUUCUCGUGGGCUCUGGCCACGGCCCUGAGCUCCUCCCCUUACCUUCCCAGAGCGGAGGGUCACCUGCUGAGCUGGGCACGGGCUUCUCGUGGGCUCUGGCCACGGCCCUGAGCUCCUCCCCUUGCCUUCCCAGAGCGGAGGGUCACCUGCUGACAGUUUGGGGCGGCUCUGUCUUUGAGAGCAUGCCCUCAUGAAGGCAGAAUGUCCUCCCUGCCUCCAUCCUCUGUGGCCCGGUGGCUCCUGCAGUGCCUGCCCUCAGAGGCUGGUGGCCUGGGACACAGGGAUGAGGAUGGGCUUGGUGGUGCUGCAGGUCACAGUGGGUCAUGAAGGAGCUUUGGGGGUGUUGCAUUCUCUGGUAAAGCACAGCAAGGGAGCCCUUUUACCCACUACUAAAACCUGGCUCUGCACUGAGGCCAUGCGCAGCCCAGUCAGGUGGACGAGGGGGUAACGACUGGACCGUGGGGAGGCAUCAGAGGAGGAGCUGCUGAGAGGCGGGUCACCACAGCCUGGUGCCUGUCUGGAGAGGGUGGGGCUGGGGGAGGUGCUGGCCAGGUCCAUGGGGGUGGCCAGGCUGGGUCUGAAAGGGCCUUGCGCUGGUGUGGGGUGAGCUUGGUCUGUUGGGAGAGUAUGCAGUUCAUUGGGGCCUCCCUGGCUCCAGGUUUGCAUGUCUGAGGAGUGGGUAUCAUCAGGGCCUGGGGCCUCUCCAGUGGGCAUGUCUGAACUCUCCCAGGGUUGGGAGCCUGUGCUCAUCACAAGCUCAAAGCACUCCAUUUCUGCUACCAUGAAGUCAAGGAUGGUGACUGUGAGCCGCCUGGGACCUGAGCUGCCUGGGACUGUGACUGAGGCACCCGGGGUGCCUCUUAGGGCCUUGGGUUUGGGCCCAUGGCUAGAUGAGCCUUGGUGAUUCUGUGGUAUUGCCUGGGCCAGGUGGACCCAGGGGCAGCUGCGGCUAGUCCAUUUGGAGCUCCUUCAAGCCGAAGCAUCCAACACCAGUGUCUGUGAGGUGUGGGCCCGGCCCCAGGAGCGGGGCCUGGGCAGCCCCGUGUGUUGAGGAAGGAAGGCAGGGCCCCCGCUCCCCGGGCCUGACCCCACUGCUUCAGCCCCCUCCUGCCUGCCUACAGCCUGGCCUCGAGGGCCCAUCAGAUGGAGUCUCACUGUAGUCCAGAUGGAGUGCAAUGGCGUGAUCUCGGCUCACUGCAAGCUCCGCCUCCCCGGUUCACGCCAUUCUCUUGCCUCAGCCUCCUGAGUAGCUGGGACUACAGGUGCCCGCCACCACACCCGGCUAAUUUUUUUGUAUUUUUAGUAGAGACGGGGUUUCACCGUGUUAGCCAGGAUGGUCUUGAUUUUUCGACUUCAUGAUCCGCCUGCCUCGGCCUCCCAAAGUGCUGGGAUUACAGGCGUGAGCCACCAUGCCCGGCCAAGCACUUCCUUGAACACAGAGGUGACCAUGAGGAGGGAGGCGUGAACCAGGAUGACGGGGCAGCAGAUGGAGCCUGCCUCCCUGAGACCUCAGGUGACCGAGUGCUGGACUGCCUCCUCCUGCCUACAUGGCUGAGAAAUAAACUUCUUUUUCAAACCACUGUGACCUGGGGUUUUCUGAUACCCUCAGCAAGCCUGUUCCUGUGGCCUGGUGUGGGUCCCCUGACCUGUGGCCUGGGCUGCCUGUAUCCGGCCUGCCCCUCUGCUCCGCUGUAAACCUGUGAUGGCAGUGGAGGGGCUUGGCCUGGGCCCGCCCCACCGCGAGGUCUUCCCCUCUCCGAGUUCUGGGUGUGGUUUCAGUUGAGCCACGCCGUUGGACUGGGCCGGCCUGGAGGACAGAAGGCACAGGCUCUUCCACAUACCUGGCUCGUGGCCCAUGGGCCGUCUGCUCACGGGAGCCCUGCACCAGGCCAUGCAGAGCAGUGAAGUCAAAACCUCGUUUCCCAGGUCUAAGGUGAACUGGGAGCAGGGCAGGAGUUGGCUCUGUCAGAUGCCACAGUUGUUUGGGGACAGUGUCCGUAGAGAAUGUGUGGCCCCCCUCCGUGGUCUAGGGUGGAGCGUGGAUAGGCCGGUCACUCCUAUCCCUGGGCCCAAGGCUCUUUUCCCCUGCCCUCCCGUGGGCUGGGAACUGCCACAGCUCAGACAAAAAUCGGCCAGGGCAGGGUCCUGAGGCUUCAGUCCCAGGCUCCUUAGGGCACCCCUGGUGACCCAGCUCCAGCACUGAGUUUCCAGAGGCCUUGAGGAUUUCCCUGGGAUGCCAGAUGGGCCCUUCCUGCUGCUCCUGGGGUCAUCUAAGCUCCAGGCUUGGGUGCAGCCCUGGGCCCCUGCCACAGACGCCCUGAAUGCACCUGCCCCUCCCGGUCCCCACGCAGCAGCCUCCUGAGCUGCGGAUCAUUUUCCUAAGAAGGCAUUCUACUUGUGCCAGUCCUUACUUAAAGACCCCUGCUGGUGCUGGCAGCGUGCUACCGGGAAGGAUGGUAUCUCCUGUGCGUGUCCUGUGUACGCUGGCCUCACACGUGUGUGCCUCAUGCGGGCUGUGCCCUCAGUCCUAUACGCUCUCCCCAACCCUCUUUUAGGGUGUCACAGGAGAAAAAUGACACAUUCCUAAAUCUCUAACACAUGGGCUUGAAAACAAGUCUGAGGAUGCCCUGCAGAAGGGCCAUGGGCAUGGACAUGGAGCUGGGUGGCCUCGUGCACUGACCUUUCCCUCUUCCUAGCCCCAGGCCCGACCUAGAGGCCACAGCCCCUGCGGACAGGCUGUGGGGCCAGAAGGGC